AAUAAUGGCCUCUACAGGCGUAACUGAUUCCCCUCUCAUCAAAUCCAUCUUAAACUUACAAAAUUACUAAAAUUACUAAAUCACAACCUGAAAAGCAAGAUUACCUCCCUUCAAAGCAGGGACUUACAGGAGGAGAAUCCUUGAAGUCACGUCCCACGUGGUUUCCUGAAACAAAGACAAUUCCACAACACAGCCACGUGUACAGCACAACAAUGCAAUUACAGCUGCCUCUGCUGAAAUGAUCUCAAAAUACAACCUUAAACUCACUUUUCGUUUAUAAUUAUAUAUAGUUACCAAAUCCUUUUAACCUACUACAAUUACCCACAGUAUUACCACUUAAUUCAAACCUUUAGCCACAAAUACAAAACGAAUCCUUUAAGUUUUACUUAAACCACGUGUUUGAACAAUGGAACCAAUUCACUCAGUACAAUUAUAGCCCACUCAGCUAAACAGAUUCAUAGGUUUUAGCUCAAGGCCUAUUUCAAUGCGUGUCACCAAAACCAGUAUCUCUGUAUUAUGAAUUACAGCACAAAGUUCCUUGCACUAAUACCACAAUUUCCAGUCGCCUUCGUUUUAAGAUAAGCAGUACACUAUCAACCUAUUCAACAAAAACGAAUUAAACUGGUUUGAGUACUAUGUUUCCAAUAGAUUUAACUACGUUUCUACGAUAUCACUUCAUCGAGAAAUUCCAAAAUAUUUCUACCUGAAAUCAACCGCAAAAUACGAAGCGUUCAUAUGUGUUCAUAUAAUCUAAUAACAAAUUAACGAAACUUGACUCCUGAUUCACCCACAGUAAGCUUAUUAAGUUAACUGCAACAUAAGACAAUGUGAUAUUAAUAUAUAAUGACCAGAAAAGUUUAACGGCGUCACGUAUAGUAUCGUUUCGUUCGCUCAACUUAACUGCAGUUCAAAACUUCACAAAUUCAUCCACACUUUCACACGACUGGAGCAUUUAUCCUAUAUGCUCCUUAUUUAACCACUGAUAUUAAUGAGAACUUUAUUGUAAUGUCUACAGUGGCUUUAUGCAAUCAUUCACACAGGUCUCCCACACUUUAUCUUUUCCAGAAUCACUUUACAAUCACCCGAUUGUCACGCUUAAAAACCAAAACGCGUGUUUUAAGUUGUAUACCGAUACAACCAUCUCUACCGAGAGAAUCACUUUACAAUCACCCGAUUGUCACGCUUAAAAACCAAAACGCGUGUUUUAAGUUGUAUACCGAUACAACCAUCUCUACCGAGAGAUAUAUCAAGCUCACCUUGAGCCGUGCACUUUUCCUUCUUAUCCGUCUAUACCUUAUGUUAUCCUAAAAAUGGUAGCGAACCAUACAGACUAUUCCUUACUAAAACACUCUCAUCUACUGGCCACGACGACGAGGCGCUUCGUUUUUGCAAAGACUAACACACCACAGUUCAGCUCCGACUCAACCAAAAUCCACUAAUUCAAGCGAAAUUUGCUUACCUUAAAUUUAAAGUGCGGCCUUGGAUUAGUUGAGGUC
ensembl:lncRNA